rnacentral:pre_miRNA from 12 species
GCUCCCAGAGCUGUGGAGUGUGACAAUGGUGUUUGUGUCCAGUCUAUCAAACGCCAUUAUCACACUAAAUAGUUCCUGGCAGGCAAGGCAUC